AGCUGUUCUGCACCAUUUGUGAUGCAUGUCUAGUGUUCUUUAUCAGUUCUGAUGUUCUUUUUGAUCCUAUCUUGUGUAUUUUUUUGCAUUACUUGAGCUUUAACCCCUUAAGGACACAACUUCUAGAAUAAAAGGGAAUCCUUAAGGGGUUAAUCAACCUUUUAUAGCAAACUUUUUAAAAACACCCAAAACAAAUUUUUUUUCUACUGUUCUCUUAACCAACUUUUUUUUGUGGUGUAAAAAGUAUAUGUAAAGGCAUACAUAUAAAAAAAUAAUAAUAAUAAAGGCAUGCAAAAUAUUUACACAAUGUAGAAGAUUUGUUGAAGUUCUCUGAUCAGAGAAGAGGGACAAAGGUUUAAAUAUAUAAUGUCAUUACAAAC